rnacentral:rRNA from 1 species
ACGGAAGGCAGCAGUGGGGAAUAUUGCACAAUGGGGGGAACCCUGAUGCAGCAACGCCGCGUGAGUGAAGAAGUAUUUCGGUAUGUAAAGCUCUAUCAGCAGGGAAGAUAAUGACGGUACCUGACUAAGAAGCUCCGGCUAAAUACGUGCCUGCAGCCGCGGUAAUACGUAUGGAGCAAGCGUUAUCUGGAUUUACUGGGUGUAAAGGGUGCGUAGGCGGCGCGGCAAGUCAGAUGUGAAAGACCGGGGCUCAACCCCGGGGCUGCAUUUGAAACUGCGGUGCUCGAGUCCAGGAGAGGCAGGCGGAAUUCCUAGUGUAGCGGUGAAAUGCGUAGAUAUUAGGAGGAACACCAGUGGCGAAGGCGGCCUGCUGGACUGGUACUGACGCUGAGGCACGAAAGCGUGGGGAGCAAACAGGAUUAGAUACCCUGGUA